GCCGAAGUGGCGGAAUUGGUAUACGCGCACGACUUAAAAUCGUGUUCCCCUUGGGAAUGAGGGUUCGACCCCCUCCUUCGGCACCA
rnacentral:tRNA from 1 species